UACGUAGGCAGCGAGCGUUGUUCGGAGUUACUGGGCGUAAAGGGUGUGUAGGCGGUUCUUUAAGUUUAGUGUGAAAUCUCCCGGCUUAACUGGGAGGGUGCAGCGGAAACUAGAAUGCUAGAGGGUGGGAGAGGUAAGCGGAAUUCCUGGUGUAGCGGUGAAAUGCGUAGAUAUCAGGAGGAACACCUGUGGUGUAGACAGCUUACUGGACCACUUCUGACGCUGAGACACGAGAGCGUGGGUAGCAAACAGG
rnacentral:rRNA from 1 species